rnacentral:rRNA from 1 species
AGAGUUUGAUCAUGGCUCAGAACGAACGCUGGCGGCGUGCUUAACACAUGCAAGUCGAACGCGAAAGGGGGCAACCCCCGGUAGCGUGGCAGACGGGUGAGUAACACGUGGGUAACCUACCCGGAGGUGGGGGAUAACCCUUCGAAAGGAGGGCUAAUACCGCAUGACAUCGUGGAGAUCUCGGUCUUCGCGAUCAAAGCUGGCCUCUGUUUACAAGCUAGCGCCACUGGAGGGGCCCGCGCCCCAUUAGCUAGUUGGUGAGGUAACGGCUCACCAAGGCCACGAUGGGUAGCCGGCCUGAGAGGGCGACCGGCCACACUGGAACUGAGACACGGUCCAGACUCCUACGGGAGGCAGCAGUGAGGAAUCUUGCGCAAUGGGCGAAAGCCUGACGCAGCGACGCCGCGUGGAGGAUGAAGGUCUUCGGAUUGUAAACUCCUGUCGAGUGGGACGAAUGCCAUGAGGGCGAACAGUCCUCGUGGUUGACGGUACCGCUGGAGGAAGCCCCGGCUAACUCCGUGCCAGCAGCCGCGGUAAUACGGAGGGGGCCAGCGUUGUUCGGAAUCAUUGGGCGUAAAGGGCGCGUAGGCGGCCGAUCAAGUCGGAGGUGAAAUCCCUCGGCUCAACUGAGGAAUUGCCUCCGAUACUGUUCGGCUUGAGUCCUGGAGAGGGUAGUGGAAUUCCCAGUGUAGCGGUGAAAUGCGUAGAGACUGGGAAGAACACCAGUGGCGAAGGCGGCUACCUGGACAGGUACUGACGCUGAAGCGCGAAAGCUAGGGGAGCAAACAGGAUUAGAUACCCUAGUAGUCC